rnacentral:rRNA from 1 species
GACGAACGCUGGCGGCGUGCCUAAUACAUGCAAGUCGAGCGAACGGACGAGAAGCUUGCUUCUUUGUCGUUAGCGGCGGACGGGUGAGUAACACGUGGAUAACCCACCUAUAAGACUGGGAUAACUCCGGGAAACCGUAGCUAAUACCGGAUAAUAUUUUGAACCGCAUGGUUCAAAAGUGAAAGACGGUCUUGCUGUCACUUAUAGAUGGAUCCGCGCUGCAUUAGCUAGUUGGUAAGGUAACGGAUUACCAAGGCAACGAUGCAUAGCCGACCUGAGAGAGUGAUAGGCCACACUGGAACUGAGACACGGUCCAGACUCCUACGAGACGCAGCAGUAUGGGAUCUGACGCAAUGGGCGGAAACCUGACAGAGCAGCAGCACGCGAGUGGUGAAAGUCUUCGGAUCGUGAAACUCUGUUAUUGGGGAAAAACAUAUGUGGCAGUAACUGUGCAGAUAUUGACGGUAACUAAUAAGAAAGCCACGGCUAACUACGUG